UCCUGGAGAGGGGCCGCCAUCCCGCCCCUGAUCCCGCCCCUCCCCUCCCUUCCUCAUCCCUGGAGUGACGUCGGCCUGCGGUGUGGAGGCCGGAUUCCGGACCCUGAACCCUGCGCUCUGCUCACACCUGUCGUCGCCCCCACGGGUCCCUGCCCACUGCUCCUCGGACUGGACAAACUUAA